UACGAACCGUGCGAACGUUGUUCGGAAUCACUGGGCUUAAAGGGCGCGUAGGCGGUCGAUCAAGUCCGGGGUGAAAUCUUUCGGCUUAACCGGAAAAGUGCCUUGGAUACUGAUUGGCUGGAGGGAGGUAGGGGCAGCUGGAACUUCCGGUGGAGCGGUGAAAUGCGUUGAUAUCGGAAGGAACGCCGGUGGCGAAAGCGAGCUGCUGGACCUCUUCUGACGCUGAGGCGCGAAAGCUAGGGGAGCGAACGGG
rnacentral:rRNA from 1 species